rnacentral:rRNA from 1 species
UACGUAGGGUGCGAGCGUUAAUCGGAAUUACUGGGCGUAAAGCGUGCGUAGGCGGUUCUCCAAGUCCGUUGUGAAAGCCCCGGGCUCAACCUGGGAAUGGCAGUGGAAACUAGGGGACUGGAAUCUGGCAGAGGGGGGUGGAAUGCCGCGUGUAGCAGUGAAAUGCGUAGAGAUGCGGCGGAACACCGAUGGCGAAGGCAGCCCCCUGGGCUGAGAUUGACGCUCAGGCACGAAAGCAUGGGGAGCAAACAGG